rnacentral:rRNA from 1 species
AACGAACGCUGGCGGCGUGCCUAACACAUGCAAGUCGAACGAGAAAGGGGCUUCGGCUCCGAGUAAAGUGGCGCACGGGUGAGUAACACGUGGGUAACCUGCCUCUAAGAUUGGGAUAACUCGUCGAAAGAUGAGCUAAUACCGAAUAAGACCACAGUUCCCGCGGGAACAGGGGUCAAAGGUAGCCUCUGCUUGCAAGCUAUCACUUAGAGAUGGGCCUGCGCACCAUUAGCUAGUUGGUAGGGUAACGGCCUACCAAGGCAAAGAUGGUUAGCUGGUCUGAGAGGAUGAUCAGCCACACUGGAACUGAGACACGGUCCAGACUCCUACGGGAGGCAGCAGUGGGGAAUAUUGCGCAAUGGGCGAAAGCUUGACGCAGCAACGCCGCGUGAGUGAUGAAGGCCUUCGGGUCGUAAAGCUCUGUCGGGAGGAACGAAUGCUCCUGAGGUUAACAGCCUCGGGAGGUGACGGUACCUCCAAAGGAAGCACCGGCUAACUCUGUGC